rnacentral:rRNA from 1 species
UACGAAGGGGGCUAGCGUUGCUCGGAAUUACUGGGCGUAAAGGCGCGUAGGCGGAUAUUUAAGUUAGAGGUGAAAGCCCAGGGCUCAACCCUGGAAUAGCCUUUAAUACUGGAUAUCUUGAGUUCGGGAGAGGUGAGUGGAACUCCGAGUGUAGAGGUGAAAUUCGUAGAUAUUCGGGAAAGAACACCCAGUGGCGGAAGGCGACUCACUGGCCCGAUACUGACGCUGAGGCGCGAAAGCGGUGGGGAGCAAACAGG